UGGAUUGUGCAAUUGAAGAAAAACAAUGUGCCUGAUAACAAUGUAUUUCUGUCCGGCUGCCGCCUUUGUUGGCUGGUCAGUCUGUCAGUCAGUCAGUUUUUGGGGCACGUAAGUAUUUCACAUGCAUUUGAACAUUUUUGGAUGUUGAACCCACUUACAGAAAAACAGAAAAGAGAAAAAGAAAAAAAUCAAGAAAUAUAAAUGAAAAGAAAGAAAAGAAAAGAAAGAAGAAGAAAACAACUGGAGACACUACAAUUUCAACUUCAAAACGCUUAAAAAACAAUUUUUAAAAAUUUAUUAACUAAUUUUACAUUACUUCUUCUGUUAGACACAAGACACACACAACUCGCUGUAAUACCGUUAUCGCUGUCGGGGAUGGGGCGCAUGUGCAUGGUCUGCACUCGCGGUUAUUCGCAUGCACAAGUGUCCCAUCCCCACACACUACAGACGUGAAGGCGAUUGGGAAUGGGAAUAACCGGCUCCUCUAUGCUAUGGAAUGCCUUGCAGAGUAUUUCCAGUCGCCUUUUCCCACACACACAUAUAGACACAGAUAUCAACACCCACAUCCAUCACAACAGAAACAGACCGUUUUUAUCGCAUUUACUGUUAUGCUAACACGGAAAUCGCAUAACAGUCUCCCUCCAAACAGUUUUGGAUCCCAAUACACACACACACAGGCACGCAUUUUGUUCAUGCCGACUUCUAAAGGGAAAUUUACACAACUUUUGCGUUCAGCAAACCACCUCGACCAGUUGCAGUUAAGGGGCUCGGUGCUUGGGGUUAAUCAGAGCACACCCGAUUUCCGUGAAUUUCCUAGCGAUCGCACACGUUAGGCGCCGGGACAGUCGUCUAUGCAAUGGAACCAAAAAUAAAAAACACAAAAUUAAUGCGCGUCAAAAAAAACAUAUAAAUAAAAACAAAAAAAUGGAAUGAGUAAUUUUCUUUUAUAAUUAAAUUACUAUUAUUUGGCUAUGGUGGAAAAUUCGACUUAACCUUUCCCAUAUUGCAUAGACCACUGGGACGCGCCACGUGCGGCCAUUCGCAAACUUAUUCGAGUUCGAAACAAGCCAUUUGACUCGAGCUCGAAUCGAUUAGCCACUGGCACAAAAAUUGCAACUCGCAGGUGAUUUGAUUUCUUGCCUAAUUUAAUACACAAAUACACUGAAACAAAACAACACGAAGUUUUUUUUCCAACAUUUUAGUUGUUUCUUUUAUUAUGUAUUGAAAAACUUAGUCUAAGUAAGAAAAAAAUGAAAAAAUUAUAUAAUAUGCUAUUCAAAGAAAUCCAAAACAUAAUUACCAACAAUGAAAAAAUAAAAAAAAAAUCAAAAAAAAAAUUAAAAAUUAAAAAAAAACCAACAAAAACAUACAACAACUAAAAAUACUAAUUAUAGUACAUACAUUGAUGUAGUGUUAAUCUUAAGCAAAAACAAAAAACCAAACACAAAAAACCAAAACCAAAAACCAAAACCAAAAUUAUAAAUCCAAUAACAACAUCUGAGAGCCAACCAUAAAAUUGUUUCAUGAACUCAAGACAACAAAACAGAACAAAAUCCAUACAUAAAUGUACAAGUAACUAUUUUUCUCUAAAAACCAAAGUAAACUGCAACACUUUUUGCUCCAUAUUAAAUUAAUCUUUUUGCAGGCAGAGGAUAUAAUUGAAUGAAAUAAGUAUGUUAUGUAUAUUAAAAAAACAAAAACAAAAGCAAAAGCAAAAAAUAAAAGAUAAAAGCUAAAUUUGUCAACUCAAAUUCAAAAUGAAAAUCGUUGCGGAAAUUGUUAAACAGACUACGCAUGCAAAUACGGAAUUUAUAAUGUACAAUGGGAAUCGCUUUAAAGUCUAUAAUGAACAUUCUGUUGUAAUGCAAAAAUAAAAGCGAAUAUCCAAAUCCAAAAUCCGUUUGACAGAACGAAAAAUUCGUGCAGCAUUAAAAAACAGAUAUGAAAUGAAAAUAACUGCAAAAUAAAUGUAAUUGACAUAACAGAAUUCCAAUAUUAUGUGUUUAUUUAUUUCCGAUGGUGAAUUAGAAUACUAGA